CGUACCCAUGCCGAACACGACCGUUAAGACCUCCAGCGCCGAUAAUACUUGGAGCGCGAGUUCCUGGGAAGGUAGGACGUUGCCAGGC
rnacentral:rRNA from 1 species